rnacentral:rRNA from 1 species
GGGCCCGCACAAGCAGCGGAGCAUGUGGCUUAAUUCGAAGCAACGCGAAGAACCUUACCUGGGCUUGACAUGCAAGUGAAGCGGCGGAAACGUCGUGGCCGAAAGGAGCUUGCGCAGGUGGUGCAUGGCUGUCGUCAGCUCGUGUCGUGAGAUGUUGGGUUAAGUCCCGCAACGAGCGCAACCCUUGUCGUAUGUUGCUAACAUUCAGUUGAGGACUCGUACGAGACUGCCGGCGUCAAGCCGGAGGAAGGUGGGGACGACGUCAAGUCAUCAUGCCCCUUAUGUCCAGGGCUGCACACGUGCUACAAUGGCCGGUACAACGGGCUGCGAGCCAGCGAUGGUAAGCGAAAUCCCUUAAAGCCGGCCCCAGUUCGGAUUGGAGGCUGCAAUUCGCCUCCAUGAAGUAGGAGUUGCUAGUAAUCGCGGAUCAGCAUGCCG